rnacentral:siRNA from 1 species
ACUUUGAAGAAAUUAGAGUGC